UCCGUAGGUGAACCUGCGGAGGGAUCAUUAUAGAGUUUUCUAAACUCCCAACCCAUGUGAACUUACCAUUGUUGCCUCGGCAGAAGCUGCUCGGUGCACCCUACCUUGGAACGGCCUACCCUGUAGCGCCUUACCCUGGAACGGCUUACCCUGCAACGGCUGCCGGUGGACUACCAAACUCUUGUUAUUUUAUGGUUAUCUGAGCGUCUUAUUUUUAAUAAGUCAAAACUUUCAACAACGGAUCUCUUGGUUCUGGCAUCGAUGAAGAACGCAGCGAAAUGCGAUAAGUAAUGUGAAUUGCAGAAUUCAGUGAAUCAUCGAAUCUUUGAACGCACAUUGCGCCCAUUAGUAUUCUAGUGGGCAUGCCUGUUCGAGCGUCAUUUCAACCCUUAAGCCUAGCUUAGUGUUGGGAGCCUACUGCUUUUGCUAGCUGUAGCUCCUGAAAUACAACGGCGGAUCUGCGAUAUCCUCUGAGCGUAGUAAUUUUUAUCUCGCUUUUGACUGGAGUUGCAGCGUCUUUAGCCGCUAAACCCCCCAAUUUUUAAUGGUUGACCUCGGAUCAGGUAGGAAUACCCGCUGAACUUAAGCAUAUCAAUAAGCGGAGGA
rnacentral:rRNA from 1 species